AAUAGAAAUGGGAAAAACAUUUUCAUCAAAUUCUAACUUGCAUUGCAAAUGGAAGUGAUAAGAAUGAAAGAAUAUGAAGAAUUUCCGCGAAUGAGAGAGAAUGGCAGAAUCUGAAUGACUAUGAAUGAGCGAGAAUGAAAGAAAACAAUGCUCCCCCGGCGGCGUUGCCAACUUUGGCAUUUAUAACAUUGGUUGGUGAAUGCCAGUCAGUCGUGGAAAAAAUUUCGUGAAUGUCAGAACAACGGAACGGAUGCGCAUUUAAACGUUGUCGCCGUCGUCGUUUCAUGUCCAGGAUUCAUGAGGAAUAAAGUCAAAAAAGAAAUAUCCUCCAUGCACAUCAUCAAAAUGAAUUUCGGAUAAAGAAAAUAAUUUACGAAAAAAACGUCGUAGUGUUGUUCUCGCUCGCCUAGCCAAUUUCGAUUGUGCGUGCGUGUUUGUGUGUGUGAAAGAAAUAUAACUAAAGUGAAAAUAGUUAAGAAAACAAAACGAGAAAAGAAAUAAAUUUUCUUGGCCAAAAAAGCAAAACAAAUACCUGUCGGUGUGAGUGUCUGGCCGACCAAGCGCCCGCCCUCCCAUUUGUAGCUGGCAAAAAGGAGGAAAUUUUGCAACAGAAAAGAAAAGUGUCUCUUCAAAGCAAAAAAUCAAUUAUAAAUGUUCGAGCCAAAUCUGCAUAAAAUCAUUCCACUGUGCUUAGAUGUAAACCUCUGAAUGGCAGAAAAAUAAAAAAAGGAAUAUUUAUGAAAAAAUAAAACAAAGAAAUCCUUUCGUAAAACGCAACAACAACAACAAAUUGUGCAAUAUUAAACCUAGUGCGUGUUUUGUGAAAAUUAUACCGUCUCUAUAAGCUAUCUAUCCAUUCCAAAAAAAAAAAAAUUAAGAAAAAUAUUUUAAAAAUAAAAAAAAUAUCAUUCCCUCCUUAAAAAACUUAAAAAACAACAAAAAAUAUUUAAAAAUAAAAAAAAAAUAUAUAUAUGCUUUGUAAAAGUAAAAAUGUACACAAAAAUUAAGCUUAGUCCCAGCACGCCAGCAAAAUAAAAUUUAAAUAAAAAAUCACCGUGUAAAUAUUUUUUGUGAAAAAAUAUUUCGAAAAAAAUUAAAUCUAAAAAAAAAUAAAAAUUUCAAUGUGUUUACAUGUUUAGAUGUAUUGUGUAUAAAUUAGUGUGUGUUUAUAAGCUUUAAAAAAAAAUACAACAACAAAACCAAACCAAGCCAAACCCCAUUCUCUGCUUGCUUUUAAAUGUUAUCCUUGAAUAUCAAAUAAAAUAACAAAAACAACGACGAUAAAAAAGAGAAAACAAAAUCAAUUAAAUCCUUAACACAAAUAAGAAAGAAAAAAGGCAAAUUAAAACGAAUCUUCACACAAGUGUGAGAGAGUGCAUAAAGAAAAUUGAACAAAAACAACAUCAACAAUAACAACAA